AGUGAACGCUGGCGGCAGGCCUAACACAUGCAAGUCGAACGGCAGCACAGUAAGAUUUUGCUCUUACCGGUGGCGAGUGGCGGACGGGUGACGAAUACAUCGGAAUCUACUUUUUCGUGGGGGAUAACGUAGGGGAACUUACGCUAAUACAGCAUAUGAUCUACGGGUGAAAGCAGUGGAUCUUCGCGCCUUGUGCGAUUGAAUGAGCCGGUGUCGGAUUAGCUAGUUGGCGGGGUAAAGGCCCACCAAGGCGACGAUCCGCAGCCGGUCUGAGAGGAUGGUCGGCGACACUGGAACUGAGACACGGUCCAGACGCCUACGGGAGGCAGCAGUGGGGAAUAGUGGGCAAUGGGCGCAAGCCUGAUCCAGCCAUCCCGCGUGGGUGAAGAAGGCCUUCGGGUUGUAAAGACCUUUUGUUGGGAAAGAAAAGCUGCCGGUUAAUACCCCGCUGUUCUGACGGUACCCAAUGAAUAAGCACCGGCUAACUACGUG
rnacentral:rRNA from 1 species